rnacentral:rRNA from 1 species
UACAGAGGGUGCAAGCGUUGUUCGGAAUUACUGGGCGUAAAGCGUGCGCAGGCGGUUGUGUAAGUCUGUCGUGAAAUCCCCGGGCUCAACCUGGGAAUUGCGAUGGAGACUGCACGGCUAGAGUGUGUCAGAGGGGGGUAGAAUUCCACGUGUAGCAGUGAAAUGCGUAGAGAUGUGGAGGAACACCAAUGGCGAAGGCAGCCUUCUGGGCCAACACUGACGCUCAUGCACGAAAGCGUGGGGAGCAAACAGG